UGCAAGUCGAGCGGACAGAUGGGAGCUUGCUCCCUGAUGUUAGCGGCGGACGGGUGAGUAACACGUGGGUAACCUGCCUGUAAGACUGGGAUAACUCCGGGAAACCGGGGCUAAUACCGGAUGGUUGUUUGAACCGCAUGGUUCAAACAUAAAAGGUGGCUUCGGCUACCACUUACAGAUGGACCCGCGGCGCAUUAGCUAGUUGGUGAGGUAACGGCUCACCAAGGCAACGAUGCGUAGCCGACCUGAGAGGGUGAUCGGCCACACUGGGACUGAGACACGGCCCAGACUCCUACGGGAGGCAGCAGUAGGGAAUCUUCCGCAAUGGACGAAAGUCUGACGGAGCAACGCCGCGUGAGUGAUGAAGGUUUUCGGAUCGUAAAGCUCUGUUGUUAGGGAAGAACAAGUACCGUUCGAAUAGGGCGGUACCUUGACGGUACCUAACCAGAAAGCCACGGCUAACUACGUGCCAGCAGCCGCGGUAAUACGUAGGUGGCAAGCGUUGUCCGGAAUUAUUGGGCGUAAAGGGCUCGCAGGCGGUUUCUUAAGUCUGAUGUGAAAGCCCCCGGCUCAACCGGGGAGGGUCAUUGGAAACUGGGGAACUUGAGUGCAGAAGAGGAGAGUGGAAUUCCACGUGUAGCGGUGAAAUGCGUAGAGAUGUGGAGGAACACCAGUGGCGAAGGCGACUCUCUGGUCUGUAACUGACGCUGAGGAGCGAAAGCGUGGGGAGCGAACAGGAUUAGAUACCCUGGUAGUCCACGCCGUAAACGAUGAGUGCUAAGUGUUAGGG
rnacentral:rRNA from 1 species